rnacentral:lncRNA from 1 species
CAAUAGUGGAGCGGAAGCGAUCAUUACUUUAGUGAUUUAGAAAGGGGAGUAUUACUUUACAGAGGGAGUACAUUGUAGUACUGUAGUAAUUUGGUUUUUCUUUGCAAUAUUUAGAGCAUAGAGAUAAUCUAGAGCAUUCUGGAGGGGAAUUAACCGGUAUGAAAUACUGAUGCAUAUAUAUAUUUUUCUGGCGUAAUUUGCUUCUAGGAUGCAGCAACCAUUUGAGAAAAUUUGAUACUUCCUCUGUCCUUAAUUAUUUGUCAGAUAAAUGGAUGUGAGGCGAACAAGGGUCCUCAAAAAGAUUUUUCUCCAAUUUCAAGAUAAUUUGCCAAACCGUCGAGAGCCAGGACGUGCAUCCAGUAGCAACUUUAACAUUGUCUACGCAUGAAACAAACCACCAAGAACAAGAGCAAAAGAGCCAGCUUCAUCUAUCACCACCAAGAACAAGAGCAAAAGAACCAGCUUCAUCUAUCUACCACUACAUCGUAGAGACAAACCCAGCUGGAUGAUCAACAUCUCAGGUGUAAGAAGAGAACAAGAGCUUCACAAUUCUGCAUCCAGUAUCCACUAUCACUACGUGUUGUAGAUCACCUAUGCAUGUACCAACUAGAUGUACCCUUUGUUGAUCACCUAUGCAUGUAUCAACUACAUGUACCCUAUCCUUGUAUGAACUACUUUGCUAUGUUCAAGUUUUGGGAGGACUUACCUGAUAUUUAGAAAAACUAAAUAGCUUAUUGAUCUACGUGGCGCGGCGUGCCGCCGCGC